rnacentral:lncRNA from 10 species
AGCUUCUAUGGGACAUGUAUUCAUAAGAGGAGGCCAACAACAUUUGUUAGUGCUGCUAUCCUGUCUGUUAUGAAUUUUAUUUUUUAUUAUUUUAAUUUUAGAGAUGAGGGUUCUUGCUCUGUUGCCCAGGCUAGAGUGCAGUGACCUCAUCAUAGCUCACUGCUCGCUAUAGCCUCAAACCCCUGGACUCAAGGGAUCCUCUCAACUCAGCUUCCUGAGUAGCUGAGAUUAAGCCAUUGUACUCUGCUUGUUAUGAAUUUUAUAUGUUGAUCUCUUAUCCAGUGUUCUUGAUGAAUCUUUAUUAGUUUGCCUGCAGAUUUGAUAUUCAAUGUAGAAAACUGUAUUUUCUACAGAUAAUCUUUUCCAGUUGUUUUGGGCUAGAGAGUGGUCUGCUGCAAACUACUUAAGCAUAACCAGAAGCAAAAAUCCAUAUUGUUUUAAAAAUGAGUUCUGGGGAGCCCUUGCUAAGGAACAGAAGAGAAGCUGCUGGAAGAUUCAUCCUCUGGGGUCUCUGGGUUGAUGUUUUACCUCAAUGCAUCUAGGACUCAGAAUAGCUGGUUGCAACUAUGACUCUUCAUUAACCUGCUGAAUAACAUAGACCAGCCAUCCAACUUUCCCCACUUAAGAAAUGAGGACAUUAUCUAGUCUUCUCACUUGACAGAACUGUCGUGAGAAAAGAUUAUUUAUGUAAGUGUUUUGGAAAGGUAAAGAUGAUAUACCUGUUGAAUGCAGUCAGGUAGUUCUCUGUGAUCAGAUAGGUGUUUGUGUCUCUAGCUGUUCAUUGGAUGAAUGUCUUUCUCCCCCAACUAGACUGUAAACACUUUAAGGAUGGGGCCUAUGUCCUCUACUUCCAUUUUAUUUCCUACAGUUUCACAUUGCAUGUCAUUCACAAAAUAGGCAUCAUUUAAAUACCCUACAGAAAAAAAUUGAACCUUUUUCUGUGUCUGUCCAUACGUGCAGGCUAUCAGAUAUAUGAUCUAAGUGUUUGUGUCGCCCCCAGAUUAAUAUGCUGAAAGCCUAACCCACAUGGUGAUGGUAUUAGGAGGUGGGGCCUUUGAAAGGCGAUUAAUGAGAACAGAGACAGCAUGAUUCAGAUUGGUGCUCUUGUAAAAGAGGCCCCAGAGAGCUAGUGAGCCUUUUCCACCGUGGAGGACCCAGCAAGAGGGCUCCAUCUAUGAACCAGAAAUCAGGAUCUCACCAGGUUUCCCAGCCUGAAGAACUGGAAGAAAUAAACUUCUGUUGUUUAUAAGCUACCCAGUUUAUGGUAUUUUGUUGUAGCAACCCGAAUGGAUUAAGACAAGCCUCAUUUUUAUUUUCAGUCUAUGUUGGUAAAUCCCAGCUUAGGGAUUUGCCGUUUGAGGGACAAGUUUUGAUCAUCAGCUCUUCCUCUUUUAUUUUUAACUUUUUUCUUUUAUUAUUUUUAAUUGACACAUAAUUGUGCAUAUUUAUGGGGUACAUCUUGAUACAUGUAUACAAUGUGUAGUGAUCAAAUCAGAGUAAUUAGCAUAUCCAUCAUCUCAAACAUUUUUCACUUCUUUGGGAAUAUUCAAAAUCAUCUAGCUAUCUGAAAAUAUACAAUAAGUUGUUGUUUAUAGUCACCCUACAGUGCUGCAGAACACUAGAACUUGUACCUCCUAUCUAGCUGUAGUUGUGCAUCCAUUAACCAACUUCUCCCUAUUUUCUCCUUCCCUCUAGUAACCAUAUUUCUACUUUGUGCUUCUAUGAGAUCAGCUGUUUUAGCUUCCACAUAAGGGUAAGAACAAGCAGUAUUUAUUUUUCUGUCCCUGGCUUAUUUCACUGAACAUAAUGUUCUCCAAGCUCAUCCAUGUUGCUGUAAAUACCAGGAUUUCAUUCUCUUUAUGGCUGAAUAGUAUUCCAUUGUGUAUAUAGGCCACAUUUUCUUUAUCCAUUUAUUUCUUAAUGGGCACUUAGUUUGGUUCCAUAUCUUGGUUAUUGCAUAUAGUGCUGCAAUAAACAUGGAGGUGUGGAUAAUCUCUUCAACAUACUGAUUUCCCUUCCUUGGGUAUAGCUAGAUCAUAAGGUAGUUCUAUUUUUAGUUUUUUGAGGGACCACAAUACUGCUUUCCACCAUGCCUGUACUAAUUUGCAUCCCUAUUAACA